rnacentral:rRNA from 1 species
AACGAACGCUGGCGGCAGGCCUAACACAUGCAAGUCGAGCGAAGCCUUCGGGCUUAGCGGCGGACGGGUGAGUAACGCGUGGGAACGUGCCCUUUGCUACGGAAUAGCCCCGGGAAACUGGGAGUAAUACCGUAUGUGCCCUUCGGGGGAAAGAUUUAUCGGCAAAGGAUCGGCCCGCGUUGGAUUAGGUAGUUGGUGGGGUAAUGGCCUACCAAGCCGACGGUCCAUAGCUGGUUUGAGAGGAUGAUCAGCCACACUGGGACUGAGACACGGCCCAGACUCCUACGGGAGGCAGCAGUGGGGAAUCUUAGACAAUGGGGGAAACCCUGAUCUAGCCAUGCCGCGUGAUCGAUGAAGGCCUUAGGGUUGUAAAGAUCUUUCAGUGGGGAAGAUAAUGACUGUACCCACAGAAGAAGCCCCGGCUAACUCCGUGCCAGCCGCCGCGGUAAGAC